UGUGUACUCCCGCCGUCCCAUAUUAAGUGCCAAAAUAUUAAAUGUACUUAGACGUGUUUCAGUAUAUUGAUACGUCAAUAUUUAGACAAAUUUGAGUCACUUAAUAUGGGACGGAGGAAGUAUGAU
rnacentral:pre_miRNA from 1 species